rnacentral:rRNA from 1 species
GUCCACGCUGUAAACGAUGGGCACUAGGUGUUCGGGGUAUUGACCCCCUGAGUGCCGCAGCUAACGCAUUAAGUGCCCCGCCUGGGGACUACGGCCGCAAGGUUAAAACUCAAAGGAAUUGACGGGGCCCGCACAAGCGGUGGAGCAUGUGGUUCAAUUCGACGCAACGCGAAGAACCUUACCUGGGCUAGACAACAUCGGACAGCCCUAGAAAUAGGGUCUUCCCGCAAGGGACCGGUGGUUCAGGUGCUGCAUGGCUGUCGU